UUAGAUUGAAAAUUUUUAUUUAUACGAAGAGGUCAAGCGACAUCUGCUGCUAGGGUUUGUUUUGUUUCAACGAAGAUUGCUGUGCGCUAAUGGCUUUCCGUCUCGGAGGAAAAUUCGCUGCUGGUGCUGGUAAGGUUUUGCUCGGAGCACCAACACAGAUAAGGGGAUACUGCCAGCAAGUUUCUCCCACUCGCAGUCGCAGAGGCGGUUAUCCUCUUGAGGUUAAAGCUUUCUGUAACGGGAUUAUCGCAGCUAUGCUUCCCUACAUGUACUGGGGACAAUGGGAGCUGAUGAAAAUCAAUGACUCUUAUAUUGAGCCUCCUACUGAAGUCCGUGGAAAUUGAAGAGGAGAUGAAGCAGACUUGCAAAUGAUUGGUUCGGUGACGAAAAUAUUUUCUUAAUUACUUGUAUUUAUGCGCACUUGGUUGUGGUCGUUGUGGUCACUGAGAUGCUUGCUCUAAUUUAAAAUUAUAAUAUACCCUACUUGUUGCAUCGAUA